AGAACGAACGCUGGCGGCAUGCCUAACACAUGCAAGUCGAACGAGACCUUCGGGUCUAGUGGCGCACGGGUGCGUAACGCGUGGGAAUCUGCCCUUGGGUUCGGAAUAACAGUUGGAAACGACUGCUAAUACCGGAUGAUGACGUAAGUCCAAAGAUUUAUCGCCCAGGGAUGAGCCCGCGUAGGAUUAGCUAGUUGGUGAGGUAAAGGCUCACCAAGGCGACGAUCCUUAGCUGGUCUGAGAGGAUGAUCAGCCACACUGGGACUGGGACACGGCCCAGACUCCGUACGGGAGCAGCAGUAGGGAUA
rnacentral:rRNA from 1 species